AGCAGCCGCGGUAAUUCCAGCUCCAAUAGCGUAUAUUAAAGUUGUUGCAGUUAAAAAGCUCGUAGUUGAAUUUCGGGGUUAGCAGGUCGGUCGUGCCAUCGGUAUGAACUGGUCUCGCUGAUCCCUCCCUCUUGACGAACUGUGAUGCCAUUAAUUUGGUGUCGCAGGGAAUCAGGACUGUUACUUUGAAAAAUUAGAGUGUUUAAAGCAGGCUCACGCUUGAAUACAUUAGCAUGGAAUAAUGAAAUAGGACGUUUGAUCCUAUUUUGUUGGCUUCUAGGAUUGACGUAAUGAUUAAUAGGGAUAGUUGGGGGCAUUAGUAUUCAAUUGUCAGAGGUGAAAUUCUUGGAUUUAUUGAAGACUAACUACUGCGAAAGCAUUUGCCAAGGAUGUUUUCAUUAAUCAAGAACGAAAGUUAGGGGAUCGAAGACGAUCAGAUACCGUCGUAGUCUUAACCAUAAACUAUAGCCGACUAGGGAUCGGAUGAUGUUAAUUUUUAAUGACUCAU
rnacentral:rRNA from 1 species